GACUAAGCCAUGCGAGUCUAUGGACUUCGCGUCCAUGGCGGACGGCUCAGUAACACGUGGCUAACCUACCCUCAGGUGGGGGAUAACCUUGGGAAACUGAGGAUAAUACCCCAUAGGGGAAGAGGUCUGGAAUGAUCCUUCCUUGAAAGGACAUCCGCCUGAGGAUGGGGCUGCGUCCGAUUAGGUAGUUGGUGGGGUAAUGGCCCACCAAGCCUACGAUCGGUACGGGCCUUGAGAGAGGAAGCCCGGAGAUGGGGACUGAGACACGGCCCCAGGCCCUACGGGGCGCAGCAGGCGCGAAACCUCCACAAUGCACGAAAGUGCGAUGGGGGGACCCCAAGUGCCUAUGCACAGCAUAGGCUUUUCCCAAGUGUAAAUAGCUUGGGGAAUAAGGGCUGGGCAAGUCCGGUGCCAGCAGCCGCGGUAACACCGGCGGCCCGAGUGGUGGCCACUCUUAUUGGGCCUAAAGCGUCCGUAGCCGGUCCAGUAAGUCCCUGUUUAAAUCCUACGGCUCAACCGUAGGGCUGGCAGGGAUACUGCUGGACUUGGGACCGGGAGAGGACGAGGGUACUCCAGGGGUAGCGGUGAAAUGCGUUGAUCCCUGGAGGACCACCUAUGGCGAAGGCACUCGUCUGGAACGGGUCCGACGGUGAGGGACGAAAGCCAGGGGCGCGAACCGGAUUAGAUACCCGGGUAGUCCUGGCCGUAAACUCUGCGGACUAGGUGUCACCUGGGCCUUGGGCCCAGGUGGUGCCGAAGGGAAGCCAUUAAGUCCGCCGCCUGGGGAGUACGGUCGCAAGACUGAAACUUAAAGGAAUUGGCGGGGAGCACCACAAC
rnacentral:rRNA from 1 species